UGUAAAAUGGACUGAAAUGUUACCUCAUCAGA
rnacentral:piRNA from 1 species